UUUAUCCUUUUCGUUUUAAAUUUUUAUCUUUUGGUGAAUAAAGAACAUACACUUAUUUAUAAAGAGGAGAUAUAUAUAUUUUAACAAAGAGUAUUAUUUUUAUUUGAAUAAUAUAUGUUUCUGGUUGCAAGAAUACUAUAACAUAUUUAUGUAUAUGAGAAAAUACAUUUUUGAAAUCAAUAAAUGUAACAUUUUAUUUUCUUCUAAAGUUAAUGUCCAUGUACAGUUAUGUAUUGUAUUUAAAUAUGAUAUUUAUAUUUUUGAAGUUCAUAUUCUUCUAAACCACCGGAUACAACUUAUUGUUUGUAGAAUUUUGCUCCUACUAUAAAAGUAUAGUAGUUUUUUGAUUUCUCAUUUUUAAAUGUGUUGUAAUUGAUAGUUUUUUUAAUGUAAUGUAAUUGAUAGUAGGAUUUCAUUUUUUUUUAUAUUGUUGGAUUAACGCUUCUAACCAGCCGGUUAAUUGUUUCUUAGCAUAUUGAUUUCUCAUGUAUCACAUAAGAAUUUGUCAAGCUCUCUUUUUCGACUGAUUGUUUUAUGUGUUUUAUAAUUCAGCUUUUUGUGGAUACAUGUCGUUGUUUAAUGUUUCACUUGUAUAUUAACGUUACUUUGUUGUUAUAGUAUGUAAUUAUUUUUUGGGAAUGAUUGAUACAACAAUGAUUAAUAUGUGAUUAUAUGAUUUUUGUGUUAAUUGUUGGUGUUAACUUUUGGAGUAUAUUUAUUGUAGUUUUAUUAUUUUGUUCUGUCAUUAAUUGUCGCCUAAAUUCUUUAUUUGAACCAAUUUUAAAUGUUUCUGUUUUUAACUUUUGGUUCAUCUUAGUUUCAAAAAAAAAAAAUUUUGGUUCAUCUUUUCUUUUUUUUGUGUUUUGGCCAUAAUAUUUAUUUUGUAUGUAUGGUUCCACUUUUUAUUUUUUUCAAUUCAUUUGUUAUCUUUUUCUUUUUUUAAUUUACGUAAAACUAUAACCUAUUAAAUAAUUUUCUACGAUUCUUUGUAAAGACAACGUGGUCCAGUGGCAAAAGACAGUUUUAUGACGGAGGAUGUCAUGGGUUCAAAACGCAGGUCCUUCUUUUUUGUUUUAGAAUUUUUUUUUUCAUUAAUGGCAAAUUUGUAAUUAAAUCGUCUUCUUCCUUUUAGGGUUUUCACUUCUACUGCGAAAUUUUCAUGGCCGCCUCGAACUUUUUUAACAUAAAACAUCAUUUUCUUGCAGUUUUCUUAUCAAUUUUUGCAUAAAAACUGUAGAUUUGCGACGUAACAUCAAAUUCCAAGCGUUUAAAAUUCAAAAGCCUGGACUUUUUUGAUGAAUCCGAUUUUUUGUCCGAUUUUGAUGAAAUCGCGGCGGUUCUGUACUGCCGAGCGUUGCAAGGCCGUGUACUCGGCCGAGUUGCCGCGUUUUCGAACAUGGCCUGCGGUUGUUGAACUAUACUAUUCGUCGGUUGUGUGAAUUUUAAACUGGAAAAUUGUAUUUAGAACUGAAGGAGAGAUGAUGAAAUCGACUCAAACAGACAAAUCAAUCUAUUAUUAGUGACUUUAUAAGUUGAAUCAAUAUAUAAUUAUGAGUGAUAGAGGAAGGUUUGAGAGAUAAGAAGACAGUCC
rnacentral:lncRNA from 1 species